rnacentral:snRNA from 1 species
AUACUUACCUGGCAGAGGAGAUACCAUGGUCAGGAAGGGGGUUUUCUCAGGCAAGGCUAAUCCAUUGCGCUCCACAUUUGGGAAACUCAACUGCAUAACUUGUGGUAGUUGGGAACUGCGUUCACACUCUCCCCUU